UGGGGAAUAUUGCACAAUGGAGGGAACUCUGAUGCAGCGACGCCGCGUGAACGAAGAAGGCUUUCGAGUCGUAAAGUUCUUUUAUAUGGGAAGAUACUGACGGUACCAUAAGAAAAAGCCCCGGCUAACUACGUGCCAGCAGCCGCGGUAAUACGUAGGGGGCUAGCGUUGUCCGGAAUCACUGGGCGUAAAGGGUUCGCAGGCGGAAAUGCAAGUCAGGUGUAAAAGGCAGUAGCUUAACUACUGUAAGCAUUUGAAACUGCAUAUCUUGAGAAGAGUAGAGGUAAGUGGAAUUUUUAGUGUAGCGGUGAAAUGCGUAGAUAUUAAAAAGAAUACCGGUGGCGAAGGCGACUUACUGGGCUCAUUCUGACGCUGAGGAACGAAAGCGUGGGUAGCAAACAGG
rnacentral:rRNA from 1 species